UUGACUGGUGCAUUACUAUUUAGGAAAAUCUACAAUCAUGCUCAAAAAUCAAUAAUGCUUAUACAUGUAUCUUCAUUCAAUAAUAUACCAUCACUGUUAAUGCAUUCGACUACACUAUAUUUCAAUUGUAUUUGAUAUUCAUCACCUUAUGCUCUAUCAAAACAUCAUUGUAAGUAAUACCAUGGACCUAUAAACCAUGGAUUGGCAACUCUCAUCUGUGUUAAUGCGAUAAUCUCAAAUUCACGCGUGCAGCGGGAUUUCAUUCCGAGAUCUUACCGUGUGGUCAUUUUCGAGACGUCCAACAUCUGCCGAAUAUAUACAUGUAGGAAAACAUUAAUUAAAAUUUACUCAAAUGCGCGGUACUUUCAUUUGAGUUGAUAAUAGUCCAAUUGAAUCUCAUUAAAAUCACAGUUAUUAAUUAUAAUUAAAUCUAUAACGAACAAUGCAUUAUAAGCAGAGUUGGCGGAAAUAACCGAAGUUUGCCGUUAAUCACCGAUCGGAGAUUCGGCGGAAUUUUCCUAUAUUUGCCGAGCGCGCGCUAACAUAUGGGAGAUGGUUCGCAUUGGUAAUGCUAUUUUUAGGCUAUUUUCUAUCAUCACGUGGUACGGCGGGCAACCUUCACCUUACAUCUCCGACUCCAGCUAUAUGAGUGAAAUGGCCGCUGCUGCUGUUGAAUGUACCUGAAAUCUGUUACACACCACCUAUGUAGAGGAGAAUACAGUUAAGCUGUAGCUGAUUGAUCACAAGCUUUCCACUCUGCCAGCCAUCUAGACAAUGAGUACUAAGUGUCAAGUGAAAUCGAUCAUCAUCACACUUGAUGAACAUUUCCCAUGUUUCCACGAGGCCAAGUGCAUUGAAGUCUUAAGUGGUAACAAAACCCCAAUAGAAUGAACAGCAUAAGAGUGAUGUCAGUGUCUGAGCUGAAGCAACUGUAGACACACAUUCUAGUGAUAAAGAAAGGUGAUAUCCGUUAAAGAUCCAUUGAUGUUGAUGAAGUACUUUUGAUGGGUAUUGGUCUGUUGUUACAUUUGGAUAAGUGGACAGUAUGCCAUGAUGAGACAGUCAUCCACCUGCAGUCUGCCAUGAGAUGGUCGUCCACCUGCAGUCUGCCAUGAGAUGACCAUCCACCUGCAGUCUGCCACGAGAUGGUUAUUCACCUGCAGUAUGCCAUGAGAUGGCUAUCCACCUGCAGUCUUCCAUGAGAUGGCCAUCCACCUGCAGUCUGCCAUGAUAUGGUCAUGCACAUGCAGUCUGCCAUGAGAUGGACAUCCACCUGCAGUCUGCCAUGAGAUGGGCAUCUACCUGUAUUCUUAUCAGAUGGUCAGCCACCUGUACUCUGCCAUAAGAUGCUCAUCCACCUGCAGCCUUGUAUGAGAUGGUCAUCAACCUGCAGACUGCCAUGAGAUGGUCAUGCUAGCUUUUUGAAAAUUAGCUAUUGACUCAUAUCAGUGUACAAGUUACAUAAAACCUGUUGGCAUGUUUAGACAUUCACUGGUCUUUAAAACUCAUUCAUACAUUUGUAUGGCAAUAAGACGGCUGUAUGGUACAGACUGACCUGGUCCAUGGCCUUAGAUGCAUCAGAGACUUUUUUUGGAGACCUUGAUGAUUCCUUAGGCUUGUAUUAAUUCGAUUUUGCUAUACAUUCUUUAUGUUUUUAAAUCAUUGAUUGAAAUUUUAAGAAGUUUGAUACAAGAAGCCUGUAAGAUGGUACAGUUUAUUUUGAAGUGAUAUGGUCAUUGAUUUUUCAUUGGGAAGAUACAAAAGUAUGGGAGUAAACUGUCACUGGUUAAGAUGCUUUCAUGUAUAAUUUUCAUAUGUAACAGCUUUCUUAAGUACAACUGUUUGGAAUAAGAAAUCUGUGCUGGUCAACAAGUUAGUAUUGUCUUGAAUUAAAUGUAUAUUUAAAUAGGUUUUUUUUCUAGUCAAAUUUUGCUAUGGAUCAAAUAAGGCUACUAUUUAUAUCCCCUCAUAUGCUGUUCAACUGUGAAGAAAUCAUAAACUUGUAAUAUGGAUACAGAUACAAAUACAAUUCUUAUUUUUGCAUUCAAAACAAAUUAUUACAAAACAUUUUUUUGACGAAAUUAACCAAUUAUGUUGAUCAAGUUCUUUAAGAUAGCAAUGGACAUAAUUCCCGUAAGAAAUUAAACAAUAAUUACUAAGUAUAAAACUCCAAUAUCAUCUUUAUUUUUGUCUUGUUUUUAUCUGACUAUUUCCAGAAUUUUUUAUUUGUUGUAUCAUGAACUUUUCAUAUUUACAUUGGCAUCAUUUUUAAAGUUGUUUAAUGGGUACAACAUUUUACAUAUGAACCCAUGAAAUGUUGUAUUGAUAAUGUAUUAGACAGUAUAUAAGUUAUACAAUAAUAAAAUAUGAUAUUAAGCAAUAUUUGAGUAGUUAAAUUUAUACCAUAGUGCCACCAUGUUUUCAUACAGAUUUUUAUACUAGAUUGUAAAAAAAUCACAUUCUUCAAAUAAUGUCAUUGAUAAUUAUAUUCUUUUUAUAUACAACUAGCUUUAUUACUUGAUGUGACAUCCUAAAUGAAUAGUAUUUGAUAUGUGCAUGUAAUAUAGCGACAUUGUAUGUAUUUAGUCAUUAGAAUAAUCAUAGUUAUGAUAUAAAUAAAAUAUCAAAUAUAUAUGUGGUCAUUCAAUUUGAUGUUUUCGAAAAAAGUCAUACUAAUGGAUUUAAUUUGUAUGGUAAGGUACUUAGCAUUCUGUUUCUUGAAUGUUUAUCAUUGAAUGAUUGUCGUUUGCAGACAUUAUGUUAUGGAGGAAGAUGAAUCAGAAUAAAUUGUAAUGCUUUAGUUGAGUUCAUGAAACGAUGGAACAAAAUUCAUUUGUAAAACAGUUAUGUUUAUUAUUUUGAGUUUGAAUGUUCUCUUCCGAAUCAUACAUUUGUAUCUUAUUUCAUAAUUAUGUUAUCACUAAAAUAUAAUGGCCAUGGGCUGUGUGUUUUGUGAAUAAAUUUUGAAUCUAU